rnacentral:rRNA from 1 species
AGCGAACGCUGGCGGCAGGCCUAACACAUGCAAGUCGAACGGAUCCUUCGGGAUUAGUGGCGGACGGGUGAGUAACACGUGGGAACGUGCCCUUUGGUUCGGAACAACUCAGGGAAACUUGAGCUAAUACCGGAUGUGCCCUUCGGGGGAAAGAUUUAUCGCCAUUGGAGCGGCCCGCGUCUGAUUAGCUGGUUGGUGGGGUAAAGGCCCACCAAGGCGACGAUCAGUAGCUGGUCUGAGAGGAUGAUCAGCCACAUUGGGACUGAGACACGGCCCAAACUCCUACGGGAGGCAGCAGUGGGGAAUCUUGCGCAAUGGGCGAAAGCCUGACGCAGCCAUGCCGCGUGAAUGAUGAAGGUCUUAGGAUUGUAAAAUUCUUUCACCGGGGACGAUAAUGACGGUACCCGGAGAAGAAGCCCCGGCUAACUUCGUGCCAGCAGCCGCCGUAACAC